rnacentral:rRNA from 1 species
GUUAGGAAUAUUGGACAAUGGGCGCAAGCCUGAUCCAGCCAUGCCGCGUGAACGAUGAAGGCCUUCGGGUUGUAAAGUUCUUUAGCCGAUGAUUAUAAUGACUGUAGUCGGAAAAUAAGCCCCGGCUAACUUCGUGCCAGCAGCCGCGGUAAUACGAAGGGGGCGAGCGUUAUUCGGAAUCACUGGGCGUAAAGCGUGCGUAGGCGGUCUCGUAAGUUAGGAGUGAAAGCCCAGGGCUCAACCUUGGAAUUGCUCUUAAUACUGCAAGGCUAGAAUCUCGGAGAGGAUAGCGGAAUUUCCAGUGUAGCAGUGAAAUGCGUAGAUAUUGGAAGGAACACCAGUGGCGUAAGCGGCUAUCUGGACGAGUAUUGACGCUGAGGCACGAAAGCGUGGGGAUGAAACAGGAUUAGAAACCCGAGUAGUCC